CCCUGCGACUGCGCCCACUGCCAGUCCCGUCCCCAUCCCCAUCCCUGACUUCUUCUGCGGCUGCUCCACCACCGUCUGUCCGUAUGGCCCCUGCGCGUAUGGCCCUUGUCCGUACGCCGGAUCUCCGUAUCUUGGCUGAGGCUGCCCAUAUGCCGGCUGUCUGUAGGGGUCUUGGCCGUAGGGUGGUGCAUUGGAGUAGUAAGGAUCAGGUGGGGGUGCGCCGUAUGGAGUGGCGUAAGCCGGGGAAGCCGCGUAGCCUGCGCCUCUGGUUCCCGCUGGCGGGGGCACGCCGUAAGGGGGUGAGUAGGCAGACCCAGGCGCACGGUAGCGCGGAUCUCUCACAGAGACCUUGACUUCCACCUUGCCAUGAGGGCGGCCAGAGGGGCGGCGGAGCUCGAGAGUGCGGAUGGCCUGGGCGCCGAAGCCGACGUCAUCGACGACGUCGCGGAGGAAGAGGCGAGCGGAGCCGACGACCGGCUUGGUGUCGUCUUCGUCAUCGGCUUUGAGAUGGACAACGUCGAGGUAGAGUGUGGAGUCUUCGAUCCGGGAGGGCACUGGAAUGAGUAGAGUCUCGUUCCAGCAAGGAAAGGUGUCGCCGUCGUUGUCGACUUUGGUGGAGAGCUUGGCCGCAGGAUCCACCCAAACCACGACGUAUGGCUUCAGAGAGCCGUGACGCCAGUUGACGUUCUUCAGAUCUUUGGCGGAGGAGAUAAUCAGCUCUAUCUCGUAGCGACCAGCCAUGGAAGGGGCAAUAAGGGAAAAAUAAUGGAGAAAAUGGUCGGACUGUCGAAUGGUUGCUAGUCGUGGGUCAAGUAUUUAUAGGCUUUAAUGUCCGCUUGUCCUUCGAAAAUCUUGUCCCUUUUACCGUUAUACCCUCCUACCCAUGUUUGAAAAAAAAAAAAAAAACAAAUAAGAAACAACUUCUCUGUAAGUCAAAAGACAACAUUUUUCUAAUUUUAAAAUUAAACUAUUUUUGAACGUUCGGUGAGAGGGUAUUUUGGUAAAAAAAUAUGACAGAGGAGCUCAACUGGGGAAGGGCAUAAUAGGGAAAAGACUAACUAGGGAAAGGGUUUGGGCCCCACGGAUUGCUUUCUCACUAAGCAUCGAGAUUGUCCUGAUGCUCUGUCUUUAUGCGCACUCGAUGGUUGCGGAAUUCUAUUGGUGUAACCGGAUAAUGCCGGUGUCAGAUGUCAAUUGAGAGGAGAUCGGCGUUGUCCACACGAGGAAUAUUCUCGCAUGACAGAGAAAGGUCUCGUAACGAGAUUGGUCCUACGCGGAAUAGACACGGCGUCACUUGGGCCGGACCUUGUCAAUUUUGUAUCUUUUAGGCCCAAAAAGUGGGCCACCAAGGCAGCCCAUGGGCUUGUUGCAAGCCCACUAUUGCCAUCUUUCAUCUACUUCACCAGGAAAAGUUCUUGAUUUCUCUUCCAAGGUGGAACCGUUGAACGUCCAUGAUUAUUUGUCAUGAUUAUAAAGCAAUAAAAAUUUUAAUUUAUUUACUUAUGAUGUUUUUAUUCAAUUUAUAUGAUCAUAAUGUUAUUAAGUCACUUCUUUUGUUAUAUGUUUCUUAAAAUCAUUUGAAAAUUCAAUUUCUAAAGUCUUAAAAAUAAAAUCACUAGUCUAUGGUCCAUGACUACUAAGUUUUUGCAUUUUGUAUAAAAAUUAUUGUCAAUUUUCUAUUUUAAAAACAAAAAGGCAUAAUCAAUUAGAUGAUAUCAUGUAUGUGCCUUCGAAUUUUAUUCAUUUAUACUUGAAUUUGGUUCGUUCUAUAUUCUUGAAUUUAGAAGUCCCAAAAGAUUCUUCCAAUAUAUCAUUUUCGGUCCAAUGGAAGAAUUUUAUUUUUUAUUUGUUCACUUUUAAAAAAUCGCAUUCCAUUCUUACUUGCAAUAGAAACCCAAAAGAUUCUUCCAAUAUAUCAUUUCUGGGUCUAAUGGAAGAAUUUUAUUUUUUAUUUGUUCACUUUUAAAAAAUCGUAUUUCAUUCUUACUUGCCAUAGAAAAUAUGGGAAAUUGGUUAUGGCCUCAACACGCUAUAUCUCCCCUAAAAAUUUAGUUAUUGUUUGGAUAUAUUUCUUGUAUUUUAUAUGUAGAAAUACAUUUUAUAUAAAAAGUAUGAACUUACCUUAUAUCCUUAAAAAAUAUUUUACAAUUAAACUUUGAAAACUAAGAAAGAUCAAAGGGAAACUAUUUUCUCAUGUUAAAAUAAAAAUAAAAUAACUCCGUUAAUUUGAAGAUGGUUCAUGAUCCUUGACAAUGACACCAUUUUCUUGAUUGAUACUUUUGGUUUUAAUAGAAAUUUCUUUAUUUUCAUAGAAAUUUUGGUCAAUAACAACUAAAAAGAAGAUAAGAAUAGUGUGUAAUAUUCAAAUAUCUUCCUUUGACAUCGGCAUAAUUGACUUUUUAUUCAAUUUAUAUGAUUAUAAUGUUAUUAAGUCACUUCUUUUGUUAUAUGUUUCUUAAAAUUAUUUGAAAAUUCAAUUUCUAAAGUCUUAAAAAUAAAAUCACUAGUCUAUGGUCUAUGACUACUAAGUUUUUGCAUUUCGUAUAAAAAUUAUUAUCAAUUUUCUAUUUUAAAAACAAAAAGACACCAUCAAUCAAAUGAUGUCAUGUAUGCGCCUUCGAAUUUUAAUCAUUUAUACUUGAAUUUGAUUUGUUUUAUAUUCUUGAAGUUGGAAGACCCAAAAGAUUCUUCCAAUAUAUCAUUUCCGGGUCUAAUGGUAGAAUUUUAUUUUUUAUUUGUUCAUUUUUAAAAAAUCAUAUUCCAUUCUUACUUGCCAUAGAAAAUAUGGGAAAUUGGUUACCGCCUCAACACGCUACAUCUCCCCUAAAAAUUUAGUUAUUGUUUGGAUAUAUUUCUUGUAUUUUACACGUAGAAAUAACUUUUAUAAUAACUUUGAUAUAAAAAGUAUGAAUAUACCGUAUAUCCUUAAAAAAUAUUUUGUAAUUAAACUUUGAAAACUAAGAAAGAUCAAAGGAAAACUAAUUUCUCAUGUUAAAAUAAAAACAAAAUAACUCUGUUAAUUUGAAGAUAUUUCAUGAUUCUUGACGAUGACACCAUUUUCUUGAUUGAUACUUUUGGUUUUAAUAGAAAUUUCUUUAUUUUCAUAGAAAUUUUGGUCAAUAACAACUAAAGAGAAUAUAAGAAUAGUGUGUAAUAUUCAAAUAUCUUCCUCUAACAUCGGCAUAAUUGACUUUUUAUAGAUUGACUAAAGUUAGCUUUAAAUCCGAUGAAACCUAAAUGUGUCCAUACAUCCAAAUUAUUUAUUCAUCUUAUAAAUUUAGGUUUAGACUUAAUUAGAAUAGAUCAAAUCAAGUUAACUAAUGAUUAAGUGGUGUCUAGAUAUUGGUAGUAUAUUCACAAACAUCUAUUUUAUUUCACCUAAUCCAGACUACACCAAGGAUCUCAUUAAUUAUCUCAAAAUAAACAUCAAAACCCUAAUCUUCCAAUCUAGUCUUAUUGUACUCAUUGCUUCUUCUUGUCCCAAUCCUCCACCAUCAUGCUACACCACCAUAAGAAAGGUUCAUAGCCUCUAAUGGCUAAGUUUUAACACAAUUUUCAUAAGAGAGUAAGAAAUCGACGAUAUUAUUGAAAAGAAAGCAAAAAGUCUCCAAUAUAUGACCGUGAAAAUCCAAAUGUAAAACUACCUUCUCCUUUUAAUUUAAUGAUGAAAUAUAUAUAUAAUCUAACCCUAAAAAGACAUGUGACCUCAAGGAUGAAAAUAUUGGUUUUUAUAGAUAUAUCGACAACUCAAUUUUAUAGAGAUAUAAGAAAAUAUCGAUGAAUAUUUUGACUCAAAAUAUCAAUAGGACAAAAAUCGAUGAAAACUAGUAAACAUGUUGAAAAAAACUCUAAAAAUGAUAUAAUAAACAAUAAUAAAUAUUUUAAAGUUUUUUUAUCAAAGAAAAUGAUAUUAUACAAUAUAAUUUAUCAUAUUUGAUAAUAAUAUCGUAUAUGUCGAUAACAAAUAUGAAUUUUAUAAGUGUACAUUUAUCAUUAAAUUACAUCAAAUAUUAUUCAAUAAUAAUAUUAUAAUAUUUUAUUAUAAUAUGUUUAAUUUUAAAUAUUUAAUAUUAAAUUUAUGAUUCAUUUAAUUCAAUUGUAUUAAAUAAUAUAAAAUAAAUGAUGAUAUAUAUAUAUAUAUAUAUAUAUAUAUAUAUAUAUAUAUAUAUAUAAUUUUUUAAUAUUUAAUUAAUAUAUUAAUGAUAAUUUUUAUAUUUUUGGUAAUUAAUCAAAUGAAAAAUUUUCAUUUAAUUAUAAUUAAUUUGUUCUUUAAAAUAUUCCUUUAAUGUUUUGUUUAUAUGAUAACUUUAUAUAUAUAUAUAUAUAUACUUGGUGCACUAUGUUUAAAAAAGACAUAUAUAUCAUAUGAUUCAAAAAGGUUAAUAGACGAAGCUAUCUCUUUCUCUAAAUUUAUAGAAAUCCUUUCCAAUCAAUCUGAAUUUGAGAUUAGUUUUAUUUUUUUCCCAAUUUAAUUUAAUGAUUUUCUUGGUGUUAAUUCCAGGCAAAUGCUGUGAGGGCAUAUCGUCCUCAGUGGACGUGCAGGAAAAAGGACAUAUACCCACAGUUCUAUGAGGACGCCAAGGUGUACUGCAAUGGUGAACUGGUGAUGACCACUGGUGGGACUCAGAAGGAGUAUGUGGUCGAUGUCUGGUCUGGAAACCACCCCUUCUACCUCGGGAACCGCUCCGCUCUUCUAGUGGACGCUGAUCAAGUCGAGAAGUUCCGGAAGAAGUUUGGGGAAAUAUCACAGAUUAUGGAAAUUCCUGUCCUCAAAUAUGGAGAAAUCGUGCUACCACCUAAACGCAAAUCUGGUUCUGGUAAAGGGGGAAAGAAGAAGUAGUUGCCCAAUUUCACGGUAAAAAGAAAUAGCCUCUGUUUGGUUGCAAGGAAAAAAAUUGGAAGCAAGUUAUGAAUCUUAUCUGUUUAUUUUCUUACUUUUCUCAGCUUCCAAAUAGGGCAAUUAGGGUUUUGGUUUUCUGUUUAUUGGACAGUGUAAUUUGAUUACUUGUUAUAAAUUUUUUAAAGUAAUCCCUAUUUCGUGUUCAGUGGUAUGUCUUAAUUUUUUUUCUUUUUGAUUAUUAUUAAUUUUAAUUGUAUAUUUUAUUAAAUACUUUAAAAUGUCCUAUAGUCCAAAAGAAUAGUUUUGUCUAGAACCAUGUUCACUGAUUGUGAUGCACUAAGUAAAUAUCAGUCAGCUUACUCUGGGAAACCCCAUUGAGAUUCUGCAGUUCCCAGAACAACAAUAAUAUAAGUAAAUAUCGUUCUAUAUUCUUGAACUUAGAAGACCCAAAAGAUUCUUCCAAUAUAUCAUUUCCGGGUCCAGUGGAAGAAUUUUAUUUUUUAUUUGUUCACUUUAAAAAAAUCGCAUUCCAUUCUUGCAAUAGAAACCCAAAAGAUUCUUCCAAUAUAUCAUUUCCGGGUCCAAUGGAAGAAUUUUAUUUUUUAUUUGUUCACUUUUAAAAAAUCGUAUUCCAUUCUUACUUGCCAUAAAAAAUAUGGGAAAUUGGUUAUGGCCUCAACACGCUAUAUCUCCUCUAAAAAUUUAGUUAUUGUUUGGAUAUAUUUCUUGUAUUUUAUAUGUAGAAAUACAUUUUAUAUAAAAAAUAUGAACUUACCUUAUAUCCUUAAAAAAUAUUUUACAAUUAAACUUUGAAAACUAAGAAAGAUCAAAGGGAAACUAUUUUCUCAUGUUAAAAUAAAAAUAAAAUAACUCUGUUAAUUUGAAGAUGGUUCAUGAUCCUUGACAAUGACACCAUUUUCUUGAUUGAUACUUGUAGACCCCCUUGUUGGCAGGGAGAGGGAGGGGGAAAAUAUUAUUUUUUUUAGGAGAGUGGGUGAGAUUGGAAGUGAUGGAGAGGACGGGAAGUAGCGGGAGAUUUGAGGGGGAAGAAAUCUGGAAAAAGAGAAAAGGAAAGGGGGGAAGAUUUUUUUUGAGGGUUUUUGAGGCUGGCGAUUAAGGAUUGGAGGUUUUGGAAAAGAAGAGAUUUUUUCAGAGGAAGAGAGUAGAGGUCCGGAUUUUUAGAAAGAAAAAAACCAAAGCUGAAAGGGGAGAGGGUGAUAUCUGGAGAGGAGAAAAACAAAGAAAAUGGAGAUAGAGACAGUCUGAAGGAGACGGAAAAAAAGCUGUGCUUGGGAGGAGCCUUUCAGGUAAGAUUUUUUUUGUAAACUUCACAUCUCUUUUUCUCUCUUAGGUACAGUCUUCGAUCUUCAUGCUCACUGUGGGGAUGAGGAAUUCGUUGUUUUUUUGUAGAGAGAGAAAAGAAUUGGGCGGCUGGGGGAUUAUAAGACAGUGGGAUGCUUUUUAAAAGUUUUUAAUUCAAAUUGUUUUUUUCUAGCAAGGCAUUUGGGUUCGUGCCUAUUUUUUUACUUUGAGUAAAGCUCUCAAAGCCAUUUAUAUAUAUUUUUUUAUUAUUCCUUUCUUGCAUGGAAAUCAUAACAUGGCAGAAGACUUUUUGGUGGGCUUGAAUAUUUAUGUCCAUUUUUCUUUCUUUUGCUUUUUGGCGAACACGUUUUCACAAAUUGAAUUCUCAAAACAACUUUCAAAAUUUCAGUUUUUUUAAUCACUUCAAUCUUCAAAUUAAUUUUUCAAAAAUUCUAAUAUCCAAAUUUAAUUUCUAAAAUGUCAUCUUAAAAUAAAUCUUUCAAACAAAUUCUGAUUUCCAAAUUCAAUUCCCAAUUUCUGAAAUUCUAAUUUUUCGACUUUCAAAUUUAAUUUUCAAUUUCCAAAAUUUUAAUAUUCACAUUCAUUUAUUUAAUCAUUACUAUUUUUUGUUAUGAUUAUUAUUAUUCUAUUUACUUAUUUAUCUUAAAAUUCCAUUCUUAAACAUUUUUUCUCAAAAUUUCAAUUUUUGAACUUAAUUUUUAAUUCCCAAAAUUCCAAUUCUUAAAUUUAAUUCCCAAAAUUCCAAUUUUCAAAUUUAAUUCCCAAAACUCCAAUUUUCAAAUAAAUUCCAAAAAUCCAAUUUUCACGUGAACAAUUUUAAUUCUAUUCCGGUUCUCAAUUUUUCUUGGUUUUACAUAAGCAUGAAUGUCAUUUUCAUAAUUUCAGAACAAUGGAAUUUGUGAGAUUAAUUCGUGCAAGAUCAAUCGGGCUUUGGUGGGGGCCCCACAUACGUGAUUUUAUGAUUGAUUGAUUUGUUUGUCACGCACAAUUUAUUUAUCCUGCUCUCCGACAUGCAUGCUAUUAUUUCUUAAUUAUGCACUAACCUCUCUCUUGAUAGCGCAUGGUGGCUCGUCGCCCAGGUACGCACUUACUUUCACUCUGGUAAUUGUCCAAGCAUAUUUUGAUUCUCACGUGUGCAUGAUUUAUUCUGGGUACUCAUUGAUCUACUCGUCCACUGCCCUGAUUGUUUCAUUUUAUUAGUAGAGACCCGUUUUUAGGGACUUAAAAGGGUGCUACGGUUUUUACCGUACCUUCCUGAUAAGUAACCUGACCCCCGAACCCGAUCCGGUUUUUUGUAGAUCACCUUUUCCAAAUAAGGAGUCACACUUAGGGUUUUUCUUUCUUAUUUUGUUUACCCUUUUAAAAAUAAAACAAAAAUAAGUGGCGACUCCAAGUCAUUUUUCCUAAUCAAUAAAAUCAAUUUUUCAAAUAAAAGUCGAGCUCGCCAUCGAAUGGGAAACGCAUUGAGCCGAAAUGCGGGGUCCACAAUACUUUUGGUUUUAAUAGAAAUAAAAUUAUAACUCUGUUAUAAGUGUACAUUUAUUAUUAAAUUACAUCAAAUAUUAUUCAACAAUAAUAUUAUGAUAUUUGAUUAUAAUAUGUUUAAUUUUAAAUAUUUAAUAUUAAAUUUAUGAUUCAUUUAAUUCAAUUGUAUUAAAUAAUAUAAAAUAAAUGAUGAUAUAUAUAUAUAUAAUUUUUUAAUAUUUAAUUAAUAUAUUAAUGAUAAUUUUUAUAUUUUUGGUAAUCAAUCAAAUGAAAAAUUUUCAUUUAAUUAUAAUUAAUUUGUUCUUUAAAAUAUUCCUUUAAUGUUUUGUUUAUAUGAUAACUUUAUAUAUAUAUAUAUACUUGGUGCACUAUGUUUAAAAAAGGGUGAGCUUGGCCCAAUGGCUGGAUAAGGCAUCUUUAUGCGUAAUAUUCAUACCUUUACUUAAUCUCAUAUGUCAUAAUUGAGUCAAAUUCUCACAUUUUCUACUUCUUUUUUUUUUUGGGUCUUUUUAUUAAAAAAUAGUGCAUUAGUUCUCAAGUAUUUAUAGCACAAUCAUUAGUAUCUUUACAAAUAUAUAUUUAAUACAACUCAAUUAUUAAUGCAAAAGAGUUGAGAUUAAACCUAGUGGACCUUGAUUAAGUCAAAUAAGAGUACAUAAUUGCCAUAUUUGAAUCCUUAAGAGGUCGAAUCAAAAGAUUAUACAUUAUUUAAUUUAAUAAUAAUAAUAACUAUAAAAAAAUAUUUUAAGAAUAAAAAAACCAAUAUUGAUAAUUAUUAAAAAAGUAAAUUUUGGUCAAGUUAUAAGUUCAAUGCAUAUGUGUCGUGCUAGAGUUUUAUGACAAACAUAACUCGAGGCACCGACCAUGCCAUAUUUAUUUCUAUAUUAAUACAUUAUUAUCAAUGAAUUAAAAUUUAGGUGUGUUCUUAUUGUCAAUGAUUCUUACAAUAAAGCCGACAAGUCUCAUAUACAAAAAUAAGAGGCGUCUUCUAUGGUUGGGUUGUAUGGGGUAUGGGAGAAAAAGGCAAACCAAUGAGAAAAUUUGAAUAUCUUAUAGUUCUAGUUUCCCAAUGAAAAUUGGCGACCUAACCUUCCUCCCUUCCUCCGUCGAGUCCAGCGACCUCUUCUCUUCCUCCGCCACAAAGUCCUGCCUGAUUUGGCAGAUGGGCAUCGAUAAUCGGUUGUGCGCUGGAAAUCAGCACCAUGGAUCAGCAAAGCUUGGCAGACUGUAAACUCAAAAAUCCUUUACAUAUAUAGCUGAGGCAUGUUUGAUCAACUGGCCCAAGGGUGUCUUAUUUCUCAGGUUCCCUUUACCAAUACAGGUCAAAAUCAAGAAGGAUUAGCCCACCUUGACAUUAUAAUGUUGCAUGGAAAAAGUUUCCCGAGAAACCCAAGAAACUUUGAAAGUUCUAGAAUAACGGGUUGAAGAAUCUUAUAAUUCACCAUAUUUUCUUUUUCUUUUUUGGUAUUUUUAAUUAUAUAAAAAAAGAAUAAUAAAUAUCAUAAAAAUAAAUAUUAAUUAUUAAAUUAAGAAAAUCAAAUAUUAUUAAUAUUUUAUUUUUAUUAAGGAAACAAAUAUUAUUUUUUUAUUUAUGAUUUAUGAAAAUAUUGAUUCUACCAUCAUCUACACUAAAGUGCUUAACCCACGACAAUCUCCUCAUUGGCGUGCUCAAAGUUCCUGCAAAUGUUUCUUUACCGAAGAAAUGUGAAGGAAAAUAAAAUAAAAUAAAAUAAAAUCACAUAAAAAAUAUCAUGAAAUCCAUAAUAUACUAUAUUUUAUAAAUAUAAAAAUAAAAUAUGGUUCUUAUAUAUUUCCAAGUCUAUUUCAAUCAAAGUGUUAUUUUAAACAAAAGUUCAAAGGACUAGCAUUGAAAGACAAAAUAUGAAAAACAACCAUCGCUUCUAUUAUGCCUACUUUUAAUAGAAAAAAUGUAAAUGUUUAUGACUUAUUAGGCUCCAAGCCAAUAAUUCAUUAGUCAAGAUCUCAUUUCGAUACAUCAUUUAAGUGUAAUCUCUUACUAAAUAAUUUGUGAGGGUCAUUUAAUUCAACUUUUGUUGAAGCAAGAUAGAAGCCGAUAUUGAAUAUGCUAUGAGACAUAAGGGAUAAGAACAACGAAUGCAAGGAGGACUUGUAAGAAUAAGUGGGAGAUGUUGUUGUGCCCUAAUAUUUAUAAGAUUUUGGAGAAUGAUAAGAUUAAGGCAAAUAGUUGAAUACCUAUUUGGGUUUGUGAUUUAAAGUUUGAAAUCAAUUGCAUAUGUAGUGAUAGAUAUGUUAUUGAUAUUGUCAAUCAAACAUGCAAAUGCAUAAAUGAGACUUAACCGGUAUCCCUUGUUCAUAUGCAAUUUUAACUAUAUUUGUAGAAGAGAAAUAAUAAGUUUUAAGUUAUCUUUAAAAAUUACUAGACUCGUUAAUGAAUCAAACACAUUAACUCUUACUUAAUGUUUAUUUGUUUACUUAAAAAAAUUGUAAAAGUAUGAUAUAUAUAUAUAUAAAAUAAAUUAACCUAGCCAUUUAAAAUAAAUUUUGAUUUAAGACUUUUUCGUGUUUUUGAGUUUUAUGACUUUUUAGUUUAAUUAAAUCAAUUUUUGAGUUUAAAUAUUUUUUAAAAAAUAAUAAAUUUAUUUGUUUAAUAAAAAAUAUUAAAGAAGUUAAAGGAAAUUCAGAAAAGCAAAUCAUAUUUGAAAAUUUUCAAUACUUGUACAGUGCGGAGAGAAAGUGAGAGAACAGUAUAUUCUGUUCAAUUUUAUGAAAAAUAAAACACCAGUCCAACACCUAAACCUCCAUUAGAAACUCCUUAUCCUUCUCCAACCUUUCCAUUGUACCAGCCUCCAACGUUAUCUCAACGUCAAUGCUUCCUCCCCCGGUCUUCCCCUGAUACAAAUACACCAUUCCGUCAAAUUUGUUGUUCGAUCCACUUCUCACCCUCUCCGGCUUCCCAAACCCAAAGUCCACGUCGUACACCUUGAACCUCGGCGAGCUUCCCACCGUAACGCAGUUCACUCCGGCGUCUUUGAACUGGAAUAUUAUUGGGUUGCUCUCCCACUUAUCGUUGCGUUCGUUGAUGGCUUUCGCGUCGUUCGUUACGAUCGCUUUUUGAAUCAUUGCCGCCGCGAACUCCGGCGGGUUUGCGUAGAGGAGUCCGGCUGCGGUGACGGUGAAGAUGGCUUGAAUCAGGUUGCCGAAGUAGGACUCCGGCAUGGGAGGGUCGACCCUCUUGCGGCAGUUGGCGAAGACGGUGUAGACGGUGACGUCCUCGGGUUUGAGUUGGCGAGCGCGUGUCACCGCGAGCCACACGUGCGUGGAGAGCGAUUGGAAGGAGGAGAAGGGUCUGGAGCCGUCAGAUGGGGUUUUGUUGAGCGUUGACUUGACCCGGUUGAUUUGAGAUUCCGAGAAUCGGAAGAUGCGCUCGCGGAGAAGCGGCGGCGGCUCCGACGUGCCGCUUGGAUUGGCGGCUGUGGGGUCGAGGGGGAGGUCGAACUUCACGCGCGUUUUGCGCGCUUUGGUGCGGUCGAGGAACGGUGGGACGGAGAUGGAGUCGGCUCCACUGCAGAUUUCGGCCCACGAGCUCAUGAAGUGCCACGUGGAGGUACCGUCGAGGACAGCGUGGUUGAACGCGCAUCCCAUUGCGAGGCCAUCUCUUAGCUUGGUGAACUGCGGAUCAUGACAGAAAAACAGUUGAAGCAGUUGAAUAACCUGGGACAACAAACUUUGUUCUAGUCCAUCUUUUCAACUAUUGGGAAAUCAUUCCUUUUGUACCAAAGUCAUAUGACCACUUUUAAUAGAAAAUAAAUAAAUAAAUAAAUUGUUACCUGUAGGACGAGGAGGGGUUUAUGAAGACCCUCAAAGUUCAAGACUUGGGUGUGUGGCAGCAUAUCUUUCAUCAUGCUUGUGCUCUCCACAUCCAUUAGAUCAGAGACACUGACAUGAUCAGCACUUGCUUCCAACACUUCUACACCCUCCAUUUCAUCAUCAUACACGACCUUAAAGACCCCAUCUUCAUCCUUCUCUAGCUUCCCAGCCAACUGAUAAAACUCUUCCAAAACUACCCCUAACCCAUCCUUCAAUUUACCCACCAUGUCCUCAAAGUCACACCCCUUGUAGAAUAACAGUUUUUGGUUAUAGUAAAAGGCCAAAUAUGGGAGAUCAAAUGUGACCAAUUGACACUCUCUUCUUCCUAGCUUCUUAGUGGGCAUGAUGUGGGAUUUUCCAUGGACAGCCACCUUCACAACCUCAGCUUCCUCCUUCUUCACAACUUGAUCUACGCAUGGAGUGGCGUAGGCGGACUCAGGCGCACGGUAGCGCGGAUCUCUCACGGAGACCUUAACUUCCACCUUUCCCUGAGGGUGGCCGGAGGGGCGGUGGAGCUCGAGAGUGCGGAUGGCCUGGGCUCCGAAGCCGACUUCGUCGACCACGUGGGGGAGGAAGAGGCGAGCGGAGCCGACGACCGGCUUGGUGUCGUCUUCGUCAUCGGCUUUGAAAUGGACGACGUCGAGGUAGAGUGUGGAGUCUUCGAUCCGGGAGGGGACCGGAAUGAGUAGAGUCUCGUUCCAGCCAGGAGAGGUGUCGCCUUCGUUGUCGACUUUGGUGGAGAGCUUGGCCGCAGGAUCCACCCAAACUACGACGUAUGGCUUCAGAGAGCCGUGACGCCUGUUCACAUUCUUCAGGUCUUUGGCGGAGGAGAUAAUCAGCUCUAGCUCGUAGCGACUAGC
rnacentral:lncRNA from 1 species